rnacentral:sRNA from 1 species
UACUGAUGAAAGCGCUUAACGCCAAACA